UACAGAGGGUGAGAGCGUUAAUCGGAAUUACUGGGCGUAGAGCGCGCGUAGGCGGCUUUGCAAGUCGAGUGUGAAAUCCCCAGGCUUAACCUGGGAACUGCAUUCGAGACUGCAUAGCUAGAGUAUGGGAGAGGGAAGUGGAAUUUCAGGUGUAGCGGUGAAAUGCGUAGAUAUCUGAAGGAGCAUCAGUGGCGAAAGCGACUUCCUGGACCAAUACUGACGCUCAUGUGCGAAAGCGUGGGGAGCAAACAGG
rnacentral:rRNA from 1 species